GCUUACCAGCAGGCAAGUCAAGAGCUGAAGCACGGCUGCAGCCGCAGAGCGCUUCAGCAAUGCAAUUUCCUCUAAUCACCUGCACAAUGAUCAGAGGAGUUUUCCCUCCCUGUUUGUAGCAGCAAGAAGCAGGAACAUCAUUGAUCAGGAUCUGCUUUUGGCGCACAAGAAAUCACAGCCAGGUUUACGUGUCUGGGAGAGACGUGUGAGCAGUGCAGCUACAACUUGUGAGAGACUUCACAUUGGCUCCUUUGGAUCAAAUCUCGGGGAGGAUUUAGAAGAGCAAUGUUUGCAGGCUGGAGAUCUACUGGCUUCCUAAAUGCUGGUUACAUAUGGAACAGCUUGAGCUGAAGAGAACCCCCAAGGAUCUCCAUCACUUCUCCUACAGCUUGGGGACUAGAAAAUUCCCAGGUCUGUCCUACCCAUGCUGGCUGCUGAGGAAGCUGCCUUUUGUGCCUUAAAAUCUUGUACUAGCCUGACAUUAUCAUCGUACAUUUAACCGGCCAAGACAUGCUUCUCUCUACACUCUCUGUUUAGACAUGCCUUCAGUUCUGAAGGAUUUUUCUUAUGCCUACUCUACUCCUCUUUUCAAGCCCAUCAGCUAUUUCAGAUCCUUAGUGUUUUGGAUAAAUGAUACACAUUUCUUCUGACACUUUCAUAUGUUAUUUUUAAGUAGUUUUUUGUGCUGCUUGCCAACAUUUUAUCCUUACAGUUCUUUGAAUUUUGUAUUAAA